rnacentral:rRNA from 1 species
UAGGGAAUAUUAGAAAUGGACGAAAGUCUGAUCUAGCAACACCGCGUGUGCGAUGAAGGCCUUCGGGUCGUAAAGCACUUUUUGGAAGGAAUAGGAAGGAAUGUACUUCCAGAAUAAGUCUCGGCUUACUACGUGCCAGCAGCCGCGGUAACACGUAGGAGGCAAACGUUAUCCGGAUUUACUGGGCGUAAAGCGCGUGUAGGUGGUUCUGUAAGUAGGGCGUGAAAGCUCUUGGCUCAACUGGGAGAGGCCGUUCUAAACUGCAGAGCUAGAGGAUGGUAGAGGGAGGUGGAAUUCCGGGUGUAGCGGUGGAAUGCGCAGAUAUCCGGAGGAACACCAGUGGCGAAAGCGGCCUCCUGGACCAUUCCUGACACUCAGACGCGAAAGCUAGGGUAGCAAACG